CUGGAUCAGGUCAUUCUCCACGAUGGAAACACUGGUGGACAGAACCUGAGACACUAGACCUGCAGCAGACUGGAUCAGGUCAUUCUCCACGAUGGAAACACUGGUGGACAGAACCUGAGGAGUCUGCAGGAGUGUCAGUGGCUCCCACUCAUCCAGGGAGAAGCUCUCGACAGAGGGGAAGUUUCUUCCUUUCAGAGCUGGGGGAAUGUAGGGGGUGUACCCAACAGUCCAGAGCAGAGAGCUGUCAAUGGCAUUCGCGUAGUGGUACUUGUCACCAAGUACAUCUGCAACGCACUGAUGGAUGUUCUGCCUCUCUGACUCUGGACCGCCAUGGGUGUUGAGUUUGGUUACCGUUGACAUCCACCCUGAAAGAAACACCAACACAGGGUUAAGUAAACUGAUUUCAGCAUUACAAGCAAGGGAUAUUCCUCAUUGCAUUCUUCAUUUUCUUCAUGCAUCCCAAUAACAUCUGAUUUCUGCUGAAGUGUGCAGCCAUUCACCACUUCCCACAAAUCUAAAAACAUUGGCUAGUAGGGGCUAGGUAGAGUUUUAGCCAUGUUUAAUAUACCAGUCAUUUCCUUUCAAAUCGGUAAAGGGAGGUGAACAAGUGCACAUUUUGCGUGGAAGGAGAGAUAAUUGGGACAUCAUUUAUUUUCAUUGGCAAAAUAACCAAUUGUCAGCUGGAAAACCUCAUUUCGCAUGGUUACACUGUUUGGUAACUAACAACAAACCAAUAAAGCCGUAUCUUCUAUGUUGUUUUUAUUUCCUUUCCAGUAGGAAUUACACCUUCAAUUAAUAUUUUUAUUUAAAGACGGAAAUGAACGUUAUUGUUCUUACCUGAAUUGACUUCGUUGUCCUUAAUGGAACAACGUCUGUCUUCGGGGAAGAUGAAUGAAAAGCUUGCCAUAAUAAUGCUGUCUCUCUCGUUGUUUGUCGAUCAAGAACUGAAGAUUUUUUGAGUGUUCUGGACAUAUCUCUUGGGUUCUGGUGUUCCAUGUGAAGCGUCGGCAUUGUGACCCUCUCGGUCGCAUAGAGAUGGAAUACGUCUUUACACAUUGUUUCGAAUCGGAAUGGAAUUCUAAUUCGCUUUACCACACGCUCUAGCCAUGAAACAAAAUGUAAAC
rnacentral:lncRNA from 1 species